UACGGAGGGUGCAAGCGUUAUCCGGAUUCACUGGGUUUAAAGGGUGCGUAGGUGGGUUGGUAAGUCAGUGGUGAAAUCUCCGAGCUUAACUUGGAAACUGCCAUUGAUACUAUCAGUCUUGAAUAUUGUGGAGGUCAGCGGAAUAUGUCAUGUAGCGGUGAAAUGCUUAGAUAUGACAUAGAACACCAAUUGCGAAGGCAGCUGGCUACUCAUAUAUUGACACUGAGGCACGAAAGCGUGGGGAUCAAACAGG
rnacentral:rRNA from 1 species